UUGUUUUGUUUUUUAUUUUAUUUAUUUUGCGAUCGUUGUUUGUCUUUUGUCGUUUUCCGUUUAUUGCCAUAGCAUUGUCCGUUCAUUUUUGACAUGUGCGUUUUACUUUCCUUUAGGUAUCUUUACUUUUUAUUUUAUCUAUUCAGAUUCGUUCAUAACUGGUUUUACACACCAGAAGCCUUCGUUUAAAAAUGGAGUUUUAAUAUUAUUGCAGAAGAUGCUAAUGAAUUCAUUCAAAUUUAUAUUUGAAAAAGUUUUGAUAAAUUCUGAGGAAUAGAAAAUGUACCGUCGGUGUACCUGAAGUAAAUUUAAAGAAUAUGACUAAGUUAUCAAUAUUGUACAGCAUAAUAAAACAUUUUUAAUUUGAAUUACUCUCCAUGAGGAAUAUUUUCCGAUGAUAAAAAAAAUAAUUAAUUAAAUCUGUCAAGUUUCUUUAAAAACGGAAAACAAUUCUUCACCGUGGACGAUUUACCCUCUUUAUUUUCUUGUCGGCAAACUGGACCUGGAGGUCGGCAAACUAUAUUUUACACAGGAAACUACAGAUGUUAGACCACAUGUACAAUAUAAGCGGAGCUGGAAAUUACAAUCGAUUCAUAUUGGCUUGAGCAUGAUUCCCACUUAGAAUAUGAAGCCUGCUACAUGUGCACUUUGAUGCAUAGGAAAUAUAGAUGUCACUGAGUCACUCUUAUAGCUGCAAAUUGUGAAACAGUGGAUUAAUUCAUUAUUUUGUGCUAGUUAUUUAUUGUUUUUGGAAAUAAUGAAUAGCACUUGCAGCAUUAUUCCAUGAUGAUGAUGACUUGUGAUGUUAGGAUUAAAUUGGACAAGAAAAAAAAUUGUGCAUUGUACAAAUAAGAAACUUACAAAUUGUAUUAAAGGAGGACCACAGUACUGGAUGACUAAAUAACUUGGAUAAUCAUGAUAAUUAUUCAUUUGGUAUAUCAAUAAUGAAUUUGGAAUAACAAGAUUUCAUAGUUUCAGUGCAUAUUAAUAGUGCAAUCAUACAUUGUAUCUGAAUUCCAUGAAUACUUUGGAUAAUUAUUCAUUUGAAAUAGCCAUUUGGAAUAAUGAAAAUUCCUAGUUUCAGUGAAUAUUAAUAAUAAUAGUGCAUAAUAUCUGAAUUCAUGAAUACUUUAGUGGAUAAUCAGUCAUUUUAAUAUAAUAACAAUUUGGAUAUAAUGUGAAUUUCUAGUUUCAGUGAAAUUUACAACACAGUGCAUGUAUAAAUCGCAUCCGAAGUUUAUGUUGGCAUUGCAAUUGUUAACUACCACCAGGGUGUGUAAAAAGACCUUAACCACCCAUGAGGGUCUCUCGUAGUCGGUCACAGUUGUUAAGUGUCAAAUGACUGCUUGCUGUACUUAAAGUCUGAAUUAGAAUUAAAUAAAAAUCUAAAUUAGUGCCCAAGCAUAUUAAACAAAUAAACCAUGUA